CCCGAGUCAUCCCAUACGCCGCCGCCGCCGCCGCGUAAAGCCCUAUCCCUAACCCGCUCUCGUCUCCCUCCCUAGGACGCAGUCGCCCUGGCCAUGCCGCCGCCGCCGCCCACCCGUACGUCCCCAGCAACGGCCUCACCAUCAUCCUCAUGUGCGCCCGGCGUUUCCGUCUCCUCGCUGGCCAUAGGCUCAUCGAGCUUCCUCUCCAUGCGUUGCUGCCUCCUCUGCGCCGCCACCCCAUGGUCUCCACCAGCGUCCCUGCCGAGUACAUGGGAGCCGCCGCUGUCGCCGGGGACAAGGAUACACGUGGCAACCGCCGCAGCCUUAGGGCACGCCUGCGGGCUAGCCUACGCCUACUGUAUCUGGUGUUCUGGUGCAUCCGGUGCGACCUCAAAGAAUACGUUCUUCUAGCUGAGCUUUGAGCUCCUCAGGGACGAUGCCCGGGGUGGAAGCAGUUCGACUACAUGAUGAAGAAGUGAGUGAAGGGGUUAAGACGGUUGCGUUGGGCGUGCCCUGCUUGCUUGCUGGACACCAAACACCAGUUGAUCUAGAAUCGAUCUAUAUUAUUAGAUCGGAAGAGAGAACAGAGGUAGCAGUUGGGGAUAUAGAGGAGUUCAUCAUCUCACUAUUCACUUCUCUACUCGCUUGAGGUACAACUCCUUAAAGCCACGCCUCCAUAUGCCCCAAAAGGCCAGACUAAGGCCUACAUUCCCAGUCACAUAUUCCAGGAACAAAAGGCUAACACACUGACAGGCCCAGUGCAUAACCAAAAUGACUAAGCUACCGAGCUAUCAUAGGCUGGGCUGUGACAGUAACAUGUUUCCAAGUAGCAGAGUACAUAAUCUUUCAAAUUAUAGACAAGGAUAUACAAGAAACACUGACCUAGGUACUUUGUAUUUUCUUCCUAGCUGGUGCUCAAAAGCUAAUACGUACCUGGGGUUGCCAAAUACGUUUUCAAUUUCAUUCCAUGGUGGACAUCAGUGGAGCUGGAGAAAGUAAGCAUGUAACGAUAUCACUGUAUCAGUACAAUGGCGCAGAGCCAAAUCAGAACACAGGAAAGUGGUCAUUUCUCAGUUAUGAACUUAUGAUUGAUCACAGUAAGUUAGAAAACAGUAAAAUGCAGCAAUUCAGAACUAAGAGGCACAACAAAACUAAUUGAACAUGACUGAGAACUAAUGGUAGUGCUUUCUGCUGCACCAACUUGCUUUUUGUUUUGCUCAUGACUACAUUUUCUCAAGAUUUUUAGGUUGCGCAGUUUGGCGGUGUCUGCACGCCCUACAUGUAGUUGUGCACCUCCUCCUCCUGUAUUCUUGCAUGCGAUCAAUGGUUUCAGCUCUCUAUUUAUCAAAGAUUAGAAUAUAUAUUCUGUAAAAAUGCUUUCCUACAUUUGGUGGAUUAUUGCAUUUGUAUUUUUUUUAUUGUUAUCAUGCUAGAAGAUUAUAUUCUGUAUGAAUGCUUUUAACAAUGCUUCGUCGGGCCGUUCCCGCCGAUGCUACUGUUCGUGCUGUCCCCCCAGUGCCUAGCAUGACCGGCAACAAGUUCAGUGCUGUCCGACAAGGUGCCCUGCACGGACAACCUCGGUCGACCUGUCAUCGAACUUCACUGCUUGAGGCAGGAGCAGUGACUAGCAUUGACCAGGAGGAGCAAGAAGCAGCGACAACUACCAUUGCUAGCUGAGCUAGCUGCUAGGUUGCCUCUCUCUUUCCCUCAUAUUCAUAUAUGUGGGUUUGCAACAGCCAAAAGUACGCUCGUGAUUCUUUGUUUUUACUAACAAUCCAUAUUUGGAUGCCUUCUUUCUCCCCAGUUACUUGCGACGGGUUGUGGGCAACUGCAAGUUAGAAGAAUCAGUACUGAAAACGUCUUCUGAAUGUUAAUAAAAAGCCAUUGGGGUAGAAAGCUAUAAGGAUAAUUGAUUUGUUUCCAUAUCUAUCUUUCUGUAUUCAGACUCAGGGGAGAAGGUGCCUCAUGCUGAUGGUAUAUAAGCUUGGCAUAGGUCUGGACUUCAAUGUCAGGUUUUGUGAAGAAGCAUUGCAAGACUCCAUCAGAAAAUGGACCCGUGGUAGACUGCAUCCGCAUCGGCGCACGUGUGAUGCCGACAUUGCACAGCGGCAGAGUGUGCAGAGUCCGCGCUUCUGACGGACCUUCACCACCAACUACCAUGCUCUCUGCCAGCCUUCUCGCUCCUCCCCAUCUCUAUGCCACAGCUCACAGGCUGGCCCAACCUCUGCUGCCUUCCUUUUCUGCCUCAGCUCCCCUAAACUAUCUGCACCGGCGUGAGCUGCUUUUGUGAGACAGGAACUUGGGCGCGGUUCAGUCUUUUUUGGGGGGCUCAGUUCAGUCUGUGGUGUGGUUCGGUUCAAUGAAAGAACGAAGAUGUCUUGUGACCCGCUCCUGUGUGAGAUAGAAAAUUGGGCUCGCAGUCUGGGUUUGCAGAGUUGCAGUUCAGUUAUGGUGUGAUUAAGUUGAGAGUAAAAUAUUCUUUCAAAUAAAAGUUGAGAGUAAAAGAAAGAAAAAAGCAAAAGAGAGAGGAUAAGAAAUGUGUGCUAGAGAAAAAAUCCUUUCAUUUUUUUACUAUCCACUGCACCUGGACUUUCAUUAGCUGCGGUUUGGGACUAUCCAAAUUUUUAACAGUGUCUUUCUCCUCUCCUAUGUACAAUUUAGUGCUUCUGCUUACUUAUGUUAAGAUACAACUAUUUAGGGGUUUCUGCUAAGUAAAUAGAAGUGCGCUUUUCCUGUUGUGCAUUUGUAUGCUUCAGUUCUCUUUUUCGUGCCGGGUAUACUUCAGUUAUACUAAAACAUCCAUCUUAUUUGUGUGCAAAUAUUUGUUAUCGUUCAAGUUAGUUGUAUAUAUAUAGUACUAAGUUCAACAUGCACACAAAGAUGAUCCGGUUGAGGUUUACUGGCAU